rnacentral:lncRNA from 1 species
GCCCCGGUCCCAUCGCGCCCCGCGCCCCGCAAUGCCGCCCUAGGGGCUGGCGCCUCCCGCGGCACCGGCACCGGCACCGGCGGGGUGGGGGCGUUCCGGGGCCAUGUCGGGUCACGACGGCGGCAUGUCGAGUCGCGACAGCGUGCAGAUCCCCGACGACCGGGACUUCGGGGCGUUCCGGGCGCAGUGCGAGUCGGAGCGCGGCUGGAGCCUCACCUACAGCAAGGGCGGGGUGGGGGUCUGGGUGCAGCUGCUGGAGCCCGAGCGCGCCCUCCACAAGAUCAAGGGAGGUGUCCCAAGCCCCUGAAGAACCGGGACGUGGUCACACUCCGCUCCUGGCUGCCCAUGGGCUCUGACUACAUCAUCAUGAACUACUCUGUCAAGCAUCCUAAGUACCCCCCCCGCAAGGACAUGGUGCGGGCUGUCUCCAUUCAGACAGGCUACCUGAUCGAGGGGACAGGAGCCAAGAGCUGCACCAUCACCUACCUGGCACAGGUGGACCCCAAAGGUUCUUUACCGAAGUGGGUGGUGAACAAAUCCUCCCAGUUUCUGGCCCCCAAGGCCAUGAAGAAGAUGUACAAGGCAUGCCUCAAGUACCCUGAGUGGAAGCAGAAGCAUGACCCUCACUUCAAGCCCUGGCUGUUCCCGGAGCAGAGCCGACUCCCAGCCCUGGCACUCUCUGAGCUCUCCCUCCAGCAUGCGGAUUCCCUGGAAAACAUUGAUGAGAGCUCCCUGGCCGAGAGCAAGGAGGACCGUGGCGAGGGCAGUGAUGAGGACAGCCUGACCUGAUUCCCCUGGGAGCUCCUCUCCUUGUUCCCCUGGCUGGGACAGCCUGACAUGACACCCCCCUGGGGGCUCCUCUCCCUAUCCCCCCACUUCCAACAUGGUUUGUGUCUCUAUCUCACACACCUGUACACAUGCACCCCCACUUUGGGUUCAGGGGGACCCUCCCAUUGUUGUACCCCUGUCUGGGGACAGCAGGGGCAUAGUGGGUCCCCCAGGGUGAGAAGUUUGGGGUUGUCUGGUCACUCAGCCCUUGUGGGACACCAGUGUUUUCCCUAUAGGUGGCAAACCCAAAGUGACCUUCAGCUUUUGCAGGGGCAGAGGAAAAGGGGGGCCCUGUGCCUGCUCCUCAGCCCUGGAGACCCUUCCACUGAGCUCCCCCUCUGCCCCCCAUCCUUGCUCCCCAUCUCUGUUAUGGUCCAACAGAACUGCCUUCAUCCCAUGGGAUCCCCACCCCCAGCAGGGGGUGCUUGGGCACCUGCCUGCACCUCUGGGCAUGCAGAGGGGUUUUUGGGGGGCUUCUGGCACCUCCUGGCAUGCUGGGAAGGAGGGCCUUUGGGGAUUUUUGGCAUCUCCAAGCAUGUAGAGGGGAAGCUUCUAGGCUCCUGGCACCUCCAGCAUGUUGGAGGGGAUGUUGGGGUCUUACCUUCAGGCAUGUGGGAUGUGUUGAGGGGCUCAUGGCACCUCCAGAUUCGCUGUGGCGGAUGUUUUGGGGGCUCCUGGGAUCUCCAUGUUGUGGGGGGUCUUAUGGGCUCUCAGCAUCUUCAGGUUUGUUUGGGGGAGGCUUUAGGAUAAGCUCACACCUCCAGGUGUGCCCAGUGUCUCUGGGGGCUCCCAGCAUCUUCAGGCACGUUGAGAGGACUUGGGGGGACUCCUGGCACCUCCAGGUGUUCUGUGGGUCUCUGAAGGCUCCUGUCCCCUCCCCUGCCUUUCUAGGAUGGGGACCCUUUCCAAGCUGGGUGCCUGAACCCUUCCUCCGCUGGAAUUUGAGGCCUUGACUGGGGGUUUGGGAGCUGGUUUUUGGCCAUGCUCCUGCCCCCUUCUUUUCUGGGGGUGCACAGGGACAUGGGAGAUUUUGUACCUUGUACCAGAGCUGAUUAUUUAGGAAUAAAAUAAUUAAAUCUGG